GACGAACGCUGGCGGCGUGCUUAACACAUGCAAGUCGAACGGAAAGGCCCUGCUUUUGUGGGGUGCUCGAGUGGCGAACGGGUGAGUAACACGUGAGUAACCUGCCCUUGACUUUGGGAUAACUUCAGGAAACUGGGGCUAAUACCGGAUAGGAGCUCCUGCUGCAUGGUGGGGGUUGGAAAGUUUCGGCGGUUGGGGAUGGACUCGCGGCUUAUCAGCUUGUUGGUGGGGUAGUGGCUUACCAAGGCUUUGACGGGUAGCCGGCCUGAGAGGGUGACCGGCCACAAUGGGACUGAGAUACGGCCCAGACUCCUACGGGAGGCAGGAGUGGGGAAUAUUGCACAAUGGGCGGAAGCCUGAUGCAACAACGCCGCGUGCGGGAUGACGGCCUUCGGGUUGUAAACCGCUUUCGCCUGUGACGAAGCGUGAGUGACGGUAAUGGGUAAAGAAGCACCGGCUAACUACGGG
rnacentral:rRNA from 1 species